UACGGGGGGGGCAAGCGUUGUUCGGAAUUACUGGGCGUAAAGGGCUCGUAGGUGGCCAACUAAGUCAGACGUGAAAUCCCUCGGCUUAACCGGGGAACUGCGUCUGAUACUGGAUGGCUUGAGAUUGGGAGAGGGAUGCGGAAUUCCAGGUGUAGCGGUGAAAUGCGUAGAUAUCUGGAGGAACACCGGUGGCGAAGGCGGCAUCCUGGACCAACAUUGACGCUGAGGAGCGAAAGCUAGGGGAGCAAACGGG
rnacentral:rRNA from 1 species